rnacentral:rRNA from 1 species
AGUGAACGCUGGCGGUAGGCCUAACACAUGCAAGUCGAACGGCAGCACAGUAAGAGCUUGCUCUUACGGGUGGCGAGUGGCGGACGGGUGAGGAAUACAUCGGAAUCUACUUUUUCGUGGGGGAUAACGUAGGGAAACUUACGCUAAUACCGCAUACGACCUACGGGUGAAAGCAGGGGAUCUUCGGACCUUGCGCGAUUGAAUGAGCCGAUGUCGGAUUAGCUAGUUGGCGGGGUAAAGGCCCACCAAGGCGACGAUCCGUAGCUGGUCUGAGAGGAUGAUCAGCCACACUGGAACUGAGACACGGCCCAGACUCCUACGGGAGGCAGCGGUGGGGAAUAUUGGGCAAUGGGCGCAAGCCUGAUCCAGCCAUACCGCGUGGGUGAAGAAGGCCUUCGGGUUGUAAAGCCCUUUUGUUGGGAGAGAAGAGCAGCAGGUUAAUACCCCGCUGUUCUGACGGUACCCAAAGAAUAAGCACCGGCUAACUUCGUG